rnacentral:tRNA from 1 species
GGCUGUCUAAUAUAAUAAAGUAUGCUUGCCUUCCAAGCGAGGAGUUCACAUGAGUGUGAGACAGUUA